AUAAGUACUGUUGCUGCUUGUCUAAGGCGUGUGUGUGUUUUAUCUACAGUUAGAGAGAAAGAAUAGUGUUAAAUAUGUUUUCAGGAUUUAUUGUAUCUUGCUAGUGUCUCUUGAGUUAAUUUUAACCAGAUGUGACACACAUGUACUAUUGAACACAGUAUUUAACUGCAGUAAUCUACUUCUGUAAUUACUUUUUUUGAAGGCUGCAACGUUAAACUUACUGUCAGUUUGUCCUAUUGUUUCCUCUCGUAGACAACAGAACAUCAUAUUCUCUGUUGUUGGUAAGUAUACUAAUAUUGUACCUGAAAUAACUGUUUAGGCCUUUAAAAUCUUAGAACAUUGUGAAAAUGUCAUGCAAAAGUCUCCCAGAAUUAUGUCCUUGUGUUUUGCCCACAAAUUAGAGAGAUUCCGUUUACUCUCAUAGAGAAGCAAAGCAAUCAGAAAAUAGUGCACAUUGCACCUGGAAUCAGUUCGGAAUUUUACUUCAUACUUAAUUCAUCAAUUAAUAGCAACAUUUUGAAUGCUUUGUACCAUAGUGCUAUAGAUUUGCAUCUUAAAGUCCCUUAACAGCGUUCAUAGGCAAACAAUUUAGUCUUGUUGGCAACACAGUCAGUAUUACCACACAGCUUUUGAAUGUGACAUUGGUUAUAAAUAAGGACAUGAAGAGUCCACCUGAAAGAACUUUUAUUUUAAAUGUGCAAUGAGUUGGUUUUCUAAAGUGUAACAUAUGUUUUUUUUCUCUUCAUGCCUCACCCACCUGGACCCCUCCUUUCUGUGUUUAACUGCAGACCAUCACUGCUAGUGACUUAUUGCUGACUCUGAGAAGUGACCUGUUGUUUCCUCCCAGGACGUCUUGGUGACUCCUUGGUGUUUUGACAGUGCCUUGCUGGCCAGCGUCUCUCCUCUAUCAUAUUGGCACUCUGUCUAUCCUAUACCUUCUAUCCACUCUGUCUCAAUAUUGGAACCUCUAUCUAUCCUAUACCUUCUAUCCACUCUGUCUCAAUAUUGGAACCUCUAUCUAUCCUGUCACAUCUACCGCUCUGUCUCAAUAUUGGAACCUCUAUCUAUCCUGUCACAUCUACCGCUCUGUCUCAAUAUUGGAACCUCUAUCUAUCCUGUCACAUCUACUGCUCUGUCUCAAUAUUGGAACCUCUAUCUAUCCUGUCACAUCUACUGCUCUGUCUCAAUAUUGGAACCUCUAUCUAUCCUGUCACAUCUACUGCUCUGUCUUUGAUAUCAACAAUUCUAUCUUUCUAUCCCCCUUCUAUCCCACCUCAGGUUACAAGUACCUGAUCUACCUUUACUGAACCACAUAACGUUGGUUACCCUUGAUUACAACAACCUCAGGUUACAAGUACCUGAUAUACCUUUACUGAACCACAUAACGUUGGUUAUCCUUGAUUACAACAACCUCAGGUUACAAGUACCUGAUCUACCUUUGCUGAACCACAUAACGUUGGUUACCCUUGGUUACAACAACCUCAGGUUACAAGUACCUGAUCUACCUUUGCUGAACCACAUAACGUUGGUUACCCUUGGUUACAACAACCUCAGGUUACAAGUACCUGAUCUACCUUUGCUAAACCACAUAACGUUGGUUACCCUUGGUUACAACAACCUCAGGUUACAAUACUAGUACUAUUUACAAAUUCGGCAAAGCUUUUGGAAUAAACUGAGACUUUUUUAGUUCGAAUUUGUUUCUGUUGAAUUUGGUUCAAUCUGUAAACAACAGUUACAGGAUAUUUAUACACUUUGUCUGAAUUAUAUUUUUUAUAUACACAAACAUUAUUUAAAGUGUUUUGUUGUUUAACUGUUCAUACUAAAAUAAAAUACAAGCAUCUAUAAGGAGAAAUCAGA